rnacentral:rRNA from 1 species
UACGUAGGGGGCUAGCGUUGUCCGGAUUUAUUGGGCGUAAAGAGCGUGUAGGCGGCCAGGUAGGUCCGGUGUGAAAGUCGGGGGCUCAACCCUCGAAUGCCGGUGGAUACUGUCGGGCUAGAGUGCGGAAGAGGCGAGUGGAAUUCCUGGUGUAGCGGUGAAAUGCGCAGAUAUCAGGAGGAACACCUAUUGCGAAGGCAGCUCGCUGGGACGUAACUGACGCUGAGACGCGAAAGCGUGGGGAGCAAACAGG